rnacentral:ncRNA from 1 species
UAAACGGAAAUGAUGUUCUUCCGUAGCAUUAUUGCUAAAACCGCUUAUUAAAGCUGAUGACUUCUGCGUU